rnacentral:rRNA from 1 species
ACGACGCUGGCGGCGUGCCUAAUACAUGCAAGUCGAACGGUCUUUUCUAUGGAAGCCUGCUUCCACUGAGAAGAUAGUGGCGAAACGGGUGAGUAACACGUGGGUAACCUGCCCAUAAGAGGGGGAUAACAUCCGGAAACGGGUGCUAAUACCGCAUAGUUUUCUUGAUCGCAUGAUUGAGAAAGGAAAGACGGCCUUUGUGCUGUCGCUUAUGGAUGGACCCGCGGCGUAUUAGUUAGUUGGUGAGGUAACGGCUCACCAAGACGAUGAUACGCAGCCGACCUGAGAGGGUGAUCGGCCACAUUGGGACUGAGACACGGCCCAAACUCCUACGGGAGGCAGCAGUAGGGAAUCUUCCGCAAUGGACGAAAGUCUGACGGAGCAACGCCGCGUGAGUGAAAGAAGGUUUUUCGGAUCGUAAAACUCUGUUGUCAGAGAAGAACAAGUUGGAGAGUAACUGCUCCAGCCUUGACGGUAUCUGACCAGAAAGCCACGGCUAACUACGUGCCAGCCGCCGC